rnacentral:lncRNA from 1 species
UAGCCGGUCUAGACAAUUUUGACGGCUGCCAUGCUGAGAUAGUACAGCUAGGCAACUAAUAGGUAAUCCAUACCAGUGUGUCUGAUGUAUGUGAGAAGGAUCUUGACAAAAUUUCCAGUAAGUAUGUGGAGUCCAGAUGAGAUCUGGCUGAUCCCGUGUCAAAAGGCCUUGGCAAGGAAAAAACCAGAGCAUAGUAAGUUGUCUUGUACUUUACGGUUACCCAACCUGUUCUCCUAGGAAAAAUAAGAAAUAUAAGCACAUGAAUUAAUUUUAAUUCUUCCAUACCUAUGGUCUAUGUGCUUAUUCCAGCAUUUAAGUUCUAUUAAUGAAUCCCGGAGGAGGAGAAAUAAACCUGAUAGAUUCACCGAUCUGAGUGUGGUAUUUCAAUUCCUAUAGGAUUUGGACUUUAAUCCUUAGAGCACUCAGGGGAUCCUAGGCACAUGGCCGUAAGGUGCCGAUAUCUAUACUUUAGUGGGUGUGUCAUUUCUGCUUUGUCAACAUGCUUCUUAGAAAAAGACCUUGUUCACCUAGUCUUAGGAAGCUCCAUUCUUUAGAGGUAAAUAUGAUGAUGUUGAAAUAGCAGAUUAUAUAAGCAUUACUUCAGCCUGGCAAAACUGGCUUGUUUGUGUAAUAGCUUUUCCUGCCCUACGACUAGUAGGUAACUCACUACCUUUAUGGAGUAAGAAUCAUUCCUGCUUCCAGACUUAACCUUCGCCUGCACAGAAAUUCUAGGAACUUAACUGAGACCUGGUUAAGGGAAGAAGGUUUAUCAUCCUGUUGUUGCCAUAUCUGUUGCCGCUGUUCUCUUUGCAAUUUAAUUUAAUGUGGGAAUAACUGAAAUAACCGUUGUUCAAAUAGCCGUAAGCGGUGGUGGUGAAGUCAGUUAAUCAGACUCGGUUGUGCUAGAAUCUGCUGUGGGACUUGAGCUUGUGGCAUAUCGAUAAUAUGAGUAUGCAUCGAUAAAUAUAACUUUCGAUUUCAUGUCCAGAUGAAAUGCAAUUUCCAACUAAUGGCACUACUUCCUCAAUAGGAAAUUUACUUCUAAGCUGGCUUAAGAUAAUCCUGUUCUUGCAAUAACAGGUCUUUCCGGUGAGUGAAUAAGAGCUCUUCGUAACCGCAGCUAAAGGCUUAGCCUAGCCAGCAAGCAAAUGACAUAUAGAAAUAGUAGGCAUCGCAUGCCCUUGCCUUUUUGCUUUUCUUACCUUCUUUUCUUCCUUUAAAGCAACUGACAUCCAUGUAGAAGAAGGUUCACAGGUGGACAAAGAAAGAGGGCUGUCCCUUGGUUGGCGGCUUGGCUUCGCUAUCGCUCAUGACUUGGUAUAGAGUCCGUGUAGUCGGUGAGUACGAGUACAGCCUAUGAAACAGGCUUUGAGUUCCAUUACAUUGCAAAAAAGAAUUACCGCCACUCUCCCUUCCAGUGAACCCCACGUGUCUGCCUCCGGCUUCGAAGCUGUGGGGAAGAAAA